CAACGUAGGUAAUCUACCUUUUGAGUGGGGGAAUAACAAUCGGAAACGAUUGCUAAUACCGCAUAAUGCAGCGGCAUCUUAUGAUGACAGUUGUUAAAGGAGCAAUCCGCUUAAAGAGGAGCCUGCGGCAGAUUAGCUUGUUGGUAAGGUAAUGGCUUACCAAGGCUACGAUCUGUAACCGACCUGAGAGGGUGGUCGGUCACACUGACACUGAAUAACGGGUCAG
rnacentral:rRNA from 1 species